ensembl:lncRNA
CCAUAUUGUACUCAUUUUUAGGAAGGGUAGAAAGGAUGACCCAGGGAACUACCAGCCUGUCAGUUUCACCUCUGUGCCAGGGAAGAUCCCUGGAGCAGAUCCUCCUGGAGGCUAUGCUAAGGCACAUGAAAGUGAGGAAGGUGUUAUGGGAUAACCUGCAUGGCUUUACCAAAGCCAAGUCCUGCCUGACCAAACUUGUUGCAUAUGAUGAUGGUAUAACUGCAUCAGUGGACAAAGGAAGAGGCACUGAUAUCUUCUAUCUGGACUUCAGUAAGGCCUUUGACAUGGUACCCCACAACAUCCUUCUCUCCAAAAUGGAAAGAUAUGGAUUUGACAGGUGGACUGUUCGAAGGAAGGGAGAUUUAGGUUGGAUAUAAAGAAGAAUUUUUUUAUAAUAAGCAUGGUGAAGCACUGGAACAGGUUGCCCAGAGAGGUGCUGUAUGCUCCAUUCUUGUAGACAUUCAAAUUAAGACUGAAUGGGGCUCUGAGCAGUGUGAUCUAGAUGUAAUUGUCCCUGCUCAUUGAAGAGGAGUUGGACUAGAUGCCCUUUAAAGGUCCCUUCCAACUCAAAUGAUUCUAUCAUUCUAUGAACUAACAUUCAGGUCACAGGGUGAAAUCUGAACUCCUUUGAACUUGGAAGUCAUAUUACUACAGAUCUCAAUUAUGGCAAUGGUUGUACAGCAGACCAUUUAUUCAAUUGAGUGUUGGCCACAUGAACAGGUGUAUUCAAAUUUCCACAGAUCUCGUCAUUCUGAUUUGAUAUUUGAUUUCUAUAACUUUGUAUGUGUCAUUUCUCCUGAGGAAUACAGUGUUACACUUUCAGCAAGAAAAUGUCUUCUCCUCCUCUGCUGUGUCCAUUUAUCUAGUAAAAAGGCAUCAAAUUCAUGAUGUCACCAUGGACCAGGAGGGUGUUCAGGGAUAUUAUAACUUACUAAGAGGUUUGCAUUAUUAUUUCUAGUUCACUACCACUGGUAGAGGUGCUCGUGUAGUGUGAACACAAACAAGCCCUCUGUCUGAACCCCAUCAUGCAGGAUAUGAGGAGAAAUAAAGAGCAUACAGUUUGAUCCUAGCUGAGAAUGAAACCAUAGUAUUAUUUCGUUAGACGUUCAUCACACAAGGUCUUUUUCUCCUCCUUCAGUGUAGAAGACAGUAUUAGUGACCUUACUGAGUCACGUUUAGUCAUUCAUGAUUAGAAGAGGUGGGAUUAUUUUGUUUGUUGGGUUUUUUUUUUGUUUGUUUGUUUUCCUUUUUUUUAAGGACCUUUUGUAACUACCAGAGAACACAAAUUCUUCUACAUCCUAGGAAUAUUUAGUGUUCCAACGUAGAAAGCAAAUAAAAGCAGAGCUCCAAACAUAAAAAUCACAUCAAACUAAAAAAAAAAAUCACCUAACACAUAAUAAAGCCAGGGUAUGAAGAAAAUUAACAAUAAGAAAUAAGAGAAAUAUCGAGACUCACGUGAUGCCAAAUUACCAGCCACUCUCCUCUACCUGUUUAACCAGAAACUCAGUGUCCUGGUUCUCCAUGGAUGGGAACAGAAAUAGCUAAGGUACAAUUCAGCCACCUGAAAUACAAUGGUUGAAACAAAUAUGACUAGGCAGGUAGAGGGUGCAGUAAGCAAGCUGAGGAGACAGAAAAAAUUUAAGCUAAAAAAAAAAAAAAAAAGAAAAGCAUGACAUAUCACUAAGGAGAGAAAACUCUCUGUAAUAUGGCAAUUCGCUGCACAUGGAAACCUCACCUCCAACGAUCUUUAUAGUUUAUAUGGUUAUAUUAUUUACAUCUGAUCAUUCAGUUUAGUAAAACAAAAAAG